CCUACGGGCGGCAGCAGUGGGGGAUAUUGCACAAUGGGGGGAACCCUGAUGCAGCGACGCCGCGUGGGUGAGGAAGCGCCUCGGCGCGUAAAGCCCUGUCAGCAGGGAAGAAAAUGACGGUACCUGAAGAAGAAGCCCCGGCUAACUACGUGCCAGCAGCCGCGGUAAUACGUAGGGGGCAAGCGUUAUCCGGAUGUACUGGGUGGAAAGGGGGCGCAGACGGCGAUGCAAGCCAGGAGUGAAAGCCCGGGGCCCAACCCCGGGACUGCUCUUGGAACUGCGUGGCUGGAGUGCAGGAGGGGCAGGCGGAAUUCCUGGUGUAGCGGUGAAAUGCGUAGAUAUCAGGAGGAACACCGGUGGCGAAGGCGGCCUGCUGGACUGCAACUGACGUUGAGGCCCGAAAGCGUGGGGAGCAAACAGGAUUAGAUACCCUGGUAGUC
rnacentral:rRNA from 1 species